rnacentral:pre_miRNA from 1 species
CGUGGACUUGCUGCAUCAGAUAGUACAUCUUGGCUUAGCUUUUUGAGCAAUUUUCAAACUGUUUUCUAAGGUGGUUGCACCAUUUUACAUUCCUACCAGCAAC